AGGAGGAUUGUUAGAAGAGUUAGUAGAAUAAGUUACUAACUUAUAGAGUAAGCUUAGGAGAAUUGUUAGCAGACUUAGUAGAAUAAGUUACUAACUUAUGAAGCAACUAUA